UCCCAAUGAGGAGAUAAGGCAACAUGUCUUACCAUCUGUCUUGGCUCCAGAACCUGCAAAGGUUGAACCCACUGGAGCUGGCAGAGCGGAGAAGAGGAAACCUACUCCAGAAGGAGCUGUCUGAUGGGAU